ACGAACGCUGGCGGCGUGGAUAAGAACAUGGCCAAUGUUGAGCGCAUGAUUUGGAAGGGGUAGCAAUAUUUUCAAGUCGGAGCGGCGCAAGGGGUGCGUAACACGUGGGAAUCUGCCUUGAAGCUGUGGGAUAACUCCGAGAAAUCGGAGCUAUAAUACCGCAUGUGAUUGCAAAAUCAAAGUUGGGGAUCGCAGAGACCUGACGCUUCAAGAUGAGCCCGCGCGCCUAUCAGCUAGUUGGUGAGGUAAAAGCUCAUCACCAAGGCUAAGACGGGUAGCUGGUCUGAGAGGACGACCAGCCACACUGGACUGAGACACGGUCCAGACACCUACGAGGGUGGCAGCAGUCGAGAAUAUUUUCUCAAUGGGGGAACCCUGAAGGAGCGACGCCGCCGUGGGGGAUGAAUGGCUUCGCGCCCGUAUAACCCCUGUCAUUUGUGAACAAGUUGUUUUACUUAAUACGUGAAGCAUUGAUUGCUAGCAGAAGAGGAAGGGACGGCCUCUAACUCUGUGCCAGCCAGCCGCGGUAAUACAGAGUAGGGUCCAUAGCGUUGUUCGGAUUUACUGGGCGUAAAGGGUGCGUAGGUGGUCGGUUAAGUCUGGCGUGAAAUCUUCGAGCCUAACUCGAAAACUGCGCUGGAAACUGCCCCGCUAGAGGAGUUGGAGGGGAGACUGGAAUACUUGAGCGUAGCUAGCACGUGAAAUGCGUAGAUAUCAAGUGGAACACCAGUGGCGAAGGCGAGUCUCUGGACAUUUCCUGACACUGAAGCACGAAAGCCAGGGAGCAAACGGGAUUAGAUACCCGCCGUAGUCCUGGCUCCUAAACGGUGCGCGUUUGCUGUGAAGUGGAAUCGACCCCGCUCGUGGCGAGUUAACACGUUAAACGGCGGCCGCCUGGGAAGUACGGCCGCAAUGCGUUAAAACUCAAAGAAAUUGACGGGUGGGGCCUUAGGCACAAGCGGUGGAGUUAUGUGGCUUAAUUCGAUGCAACGCGAAGAACCUUACCUGGCCUUGACAUGCCAAGUAGUAGAAGGAUGAAAGUCUGACGAGAUAGCAAUAUCAGCUUGCACAGGUGCCUGCAUGGGCUGUCGUCAGCUCGUGUCGUGAGAUGUUGGUUAAGUCCUCGCCAACGAGCGCAACCCCUGUGUCUUGUUGCCAUCCUUAAGUGGAAGCACUCCUGAGCACAGACUGCUCUCGCUUCAACGAGGAGGAAGGUGCGGGAUGACGUACAAUGUCAGUAUGGCCCUUACGGCCAGGGCUGCAGCACGUACUACAAUGCCCGCGUACAAAGGGAAGCAAUAACGCCAAGUUGGAGCAAAUCCCCAUAAAACGCGCGCCCAGUUCAGAUUGUCGUCUGCAACUCGACGGCACCGAAGCUGGAAUCGCUAGUAAUGGCGCAUCAGCUACGGCGCCGUGAAAUACGUCCCAGGCCCUUGUACACACCGCCCGUCACAUCAUGAAAGCCGGUUGCCACCCGAAGUCGUCUCUCUAAAAAGAUGCCGAAGGUAUGACUGGUGAUUGGGAUG
rnacentral:rRNA from 1 species